UACGUAGGGGGCAAGCGUUGUCCGGAAUCAUUGGGCGUAAAGCGCGUGUAGGCGGCCCGAUAAGUCCGCUGUGAAAGUCCAGGGCUCAACCCUGGGAUGCCGGUGGAUACUGUCGGGCUCGAGUCCGGAAGAGGCGAGUGGAAUUCCUGGUGUAGCGGUGAAAUGCGCAGAUAUCAGGAGGAACACCAAUGGCGAAGGCAGCUCGCUGGGGCGUGACUGACGCUGAGACGCGAAAGCGUGGGGAGCGAACAGG
rnacentral:rRNA from 1 species